rnacentral:rRNA from 1 species
GUGGGGAAUAUUGCACAAUGGGCGGAAGCCUGAUGCAGCGACGCCGCGUGAGGGAUGAAGGCCUUCGGGUUGUAAACCUCUUUCAGCAGGGACGAAGCGUUUUGUGACGGUACCUGCAGAAGAAGCGCCGGCCAACUACGUGCCAGCAGCCGCGGUAAGACGUAGGGCGCGAGCGUUGUCCGGAUUUAUUGGGCGUAAAGGGCUCGUAGGCGGCUUGUCGCGUCGACUGUGAAAACCCGUGGCUCAACUGCGGGCUUGCAGUCGAUACGGGCAGGCUAGAGUUCGGUAGGGGAGACUGGAAUUCCUGGUGUAGCGGUGAAAUGCGCAGAUAUCAGGAGGAACACCGGUGGCGAAGGCGGGUCUCUGGGCCGAUACUGACGCUGAGGAGCGAAAGCGUGGGGAGCGAACAGGAUUAGAAACCCCAGUAGUCC